GAGGGUAUAGCUCAGUGACAGAAUGUGUGCUUAGCACGCACAAGAUCCUGGGUUCAAUCCUCAGUACCCUCA
rnacentral:tRNA from 1 species